rnacentral:rRNA from 1 species
AGAGUUUGAUCAUGGCUCAGAUUGAACGCUGGCGGCAUGCCUUACACAUGCAAGUCGAACGGCAGCACGAGAGCUUGCUCUUGGUGGCGGGUGGCGAACGGGUGAGUAAUAUAUCGGAACGUACCCUAGAGUGGGGGAUAACGUAGCGAAAGUUACGCUAAUACCGCAUACGAUCUACGGAUGAAAGUGGGGGAUCGCAAGACCUCAUGCUCAUGGAGCGGCCGAUAUCUGAUUAGCUAGUUGGUGGGGUAAAAGCUCACCAAGGCGACGAUCAGUAGCUGGUCUGAGAGGACGACCAGCCACACUGGAACUGAGACACGGUCCAGACUCCUACGGGAGGCAGCAGUGGGGAAUUUUGGACAAUGGGCGCAAGCCUGAUCCAGCAAUGCCGCGUGAGUGAAGAAGGCCUUCGGGUUGUAAAGCUCUUUCGUCAGGGAAGAAACGGUGGACUCUAAUACAGAUCACUAAUGACGGUACCUGAAGAAUAAGCACCGGCUAACUACGUGCCAGCAGCCGCGGUAAUACGUAGGGUGCAAGCGUUAAUCGGAAUUACUGGGCGUAAAGCGUGCGCAGGCGGUUGUGCAAGACAGAUGUGAAAUCCCCGGGCUCAACCUGGGAAUUGCAUUUGUGACUGCACGGCUAGAGUGUGUCAGAGGGGGGUAGAAUUCCACGUGUAGCAGUGAAAUGCGUAGAGAUGUGGAGGAAUACCGAUGGCGAAGGCAGCCCCCUGGGAUAACACUGACGCUCAUGCACGAAAGCGUGGGGAGCAAACAGGAUUAGAUACCCUGGUAGUCCACGCCCUAAACGAUGUCUACUAGUUGUCGGGUCUUAAUUGACUUGGUAACGCAGCUAACGCGUGAAGUAGACCGCCUGGGGAGUACGGUCGCAAGAUUAAAACUCAAAGGAAUAGACGGGGACCCGCACAAGCGGUGGAUGAUGUGGAUUAAUUCGAUGCAACGCGAAAAACCUUACCUACCCUUGACAUGUCUGGAAUCCUUGAGAGAUCAGGGAGUGCUCGAAAGAGAAUCAGAACACAGGUGCUGCAUGGCUGUCGUCAGCUCGUGUCGUGAGAUGUUGGGUUAAGUCCCGCAACGAGCGCAACCCUUGUCAUUAGUUGCUACGAAAGGGCACUCUAAUGAGACUGCCGGUGACAAACCGGAGGAAGGUGGGGAUGACGUCAAGUCCUCAUGGCCCUUAUGGGUAGGGCUUCACACGUCAUACAACGGUACAUACAGAGGGCCGCCAACCCGCGAGGGGGAGCUAAUCCCAGAAAGUGUAUCGUAGUCCGGAUUGUAGUCUGCAACUCGACUACAUGAAGUUGGAAUCGCUAGUAAUCGCGGAUCAGCAUGUCGCGGUGAAUACGUUCCCGGGUCUUGUACACACCGCCCGUCACACCAUGGGAGCGGGUUUCACCAGAAGUGGGUAGCCUAACCGCAAGGAGGGCGCUCACCACGGCGGGAUUCGUGACUGGGGUGAAGUCGUAACAAGGUA